CGUCUCCAGUAGCUGGGUAGAUUCUCGGAGCCGGCCCUCUGGAGGUGAACCGCGCGCCCCCUAGAGCCAGGCUGUGGGCCGAGUCCAGGAGUCUUUCUCAGACCAGCACAGCUCUGCUCUGAUCAGCCCAGUCACCCCUGCUGUCUUUCUGAAAAGGAGCACCUUGAAGCAGAGCCCAUCCUUCUCCUUACACCUCAGCACCCAGAACAGGAUUCAGGGAACAGAUGGGUUGGCCUUGGGGGAGAGACUCAAACUGGGGGUGAUGGACAGAAGUGGGAUGAGCUUAUUCCUGCUGCCCCAGAGCUCCAACCCCAGAGCAGAGGACAAGGAAGGAGGGACACAAAGGGAUCCAGGGCCCACCUUUCCUGUACGCGCAAAGGCCUCAGCCACUUUCCGGUUCCGCCCUCCAUAGCAGGUAGUGAUCAGGUCAGCAACACCACAGCUCUCCAAGAAGGUGGCAGAGGACACAGGGCCACUGCAGAAGAGCUUGGCAAAGGCUAUCAUCUCCAUGAGUCCCAGCCGGAUCACUGCCGCCUUGGUGUUGUCGCCAAAGCCCAGGCCAUCACAGAAGCCAGCACCCACGGCCACUACAUUCUUGAAGGAGUGGAGGUCAUAGGUCCUGCCCCAUUCCCAGCUCAAGUUUGCUGUGAGGAGGCCAGACAGCAUGUGACGAACUGUCCUGCCACAUACCCUCAACCAGACUCUCUCUCCAAGGCAACAGGUCCCCUCCACAUCCCUAGGCAACUUCGCCUGACUGCCCUAACAAACUGCCAUUCAGUGACCAGUCACUGCUCCAAACCAGCUACUCUUCACACUUCUCAAACCAGCCUGCUUCUCAUAUUCCCCAGGCAUUCCUUUACACCUCCCAAACUCCCCGAGAGACAGGCCCUCCAAACCAAUCUCUUGUCUCCUCCCUUCAGCCUUCCUUCCAGUGACCCCCAGCACCUCACUGCUUUCCUAAGCCUCUCCAGAGUCAACUUCCUCUCUUUUCUCCGGCAAACUCUUGACCUCCGUCUGCCAUUUCUGUUCUUGCUUCACCCACCCUGAACCCCACAACAGUGAGCCGCACCCUCCCCCAUCCACAUGAAGGUGUCCCUGGCACCUUAAUAAGAGAUAUGCCAAUGGCAUUUGCCUUCAGGUGGCCCUUGAGCUGGUCACAGAUCUUGCGGAUGAACUGAUGGGGCACCACAAAGAUCAGGAUGUCAGCAUCCGCUGCAGCCUGGACCACAUCCGGGACAGCCACCUGUGGGGGUGACCAAGUGCUCACGGGCCUGGCAGACCUCCCCAGCCACUGUGGAACCCCAUUCAGGAGAUCUGGGAGCCAAAGAGUGAGGCUGGUAGGGGGGCAGGAAGGCUUGUUUGAGACUGAAUCUAGAAGGACUGAACUUGGAGAAAUGAUACUCUACUCCCUCCCCACAGCCACCACACUCUCUCCCUCCAGCUGUCCUGGGCUCUUGAGGACUCCUGGAAACCUCAUCCCUGCACUCUCCUAUCCCUUGGCUGUGGGACAGUGCGGGAGGCCAAAAGCAACCUGGGCUUGGCAAAAGAAAGAGCUCAAAUAAGAUUUCAUCAUCCAGCUCCUCAGGGACCCCAGCUGGGAAAGGGGAGCCUCAGCUUUUCUGCUCUCUUCCCUGCUUCCCCUUUCCAGGUGAGGAGAACCACGUGGGUUUGACCAAAGACCAUAAGUCCAAGGAGCAGCCUCCAAGUCGGCUAAUCACUCAGUGAAUGAGUAACAGGAUUAGUGCCUGAGGCAGGCACUACCGGACCCCUAGUCUGGGAGCCCAGUCUUUGGCUGCCAUGGAGACCAACUUGUUCUCCCAUCCCUUCCCCACCCACCCACCCGCCUGGGAGCCUGUGAGGGGAAAGCACAGGUUCUCCUCAGUCCUCAGGAAAGGGCCCAGAGCAGCCCUCCUGAGACUUUCCCAAGUCCUGCCGCACCUGAAGUGGCCCCCUCAGCAGGAGACACCUGUUGAGUAAGGUCGGCUCCGACUCCUGGCCCUCCCUUCCUCUACCCAUUCCUUGCAGGGUGUUGGGGCUCACCACAUUUGGGGGCAGCUUGUGCCCUGGCAGGUAUUUGACAUUCUCAUGCUGCGUGUUGAUGAUCUCAGUCAGCUUUUUGCCUCCAAUGUCUUCCUCAAACACCCACAUGGUCACCCGUGGGUCAAACUGUGCCAGCUGGGCUGCAUUGCCACCCACGAUCUUGGCGAUGGCUGAGCCCCUGGCAGGAGGGGGAGCCCAGGAAAGUACAGGAGGAGGGAACAGUGGCAAGCGUUGGGGCAGCGCCCCACCUCAGGAUCUCACAGCAGCCCCCCAGGCUGUUCACUUCUACCUCCCUAUCACCUCCACUCCCAUGUCAAACAUGUCCCCAGUGACCUGGCAGUAGAAAGGAGACUCAGUCUCCUCACCCUUUGCUACUAGAGAAGGGAGCCCCCCUUCCCAUCUUCCCACCCCCAAACUCAAGCAGCUCUUCACAUGGAGCGCUCUGGAGACGCCUUCCCAUGGUGAACAGGUGCAGCUGCCCAGGCAGGCGGGGGCCAGGAGAGGGCCAGGCACCCUCUGUCCUGUGCUGCUAUGAUAGAAGAUAGCAGCAGGGGCUGAACAGGAACCUGAGGGCCUUUCCCACCUAUUCUGCCUCCUACCCACCUCUGUCCUGGGGGGCCUACCCUUCCCCCAUAUCACUUGACAGAGCCGCUUACCAGUUCCCGGAUCCUACAAUGCAGACUUUCUUGCUAGCCAUGGUGCCGCGUCUCUGCCUGAGCCAGCUCAGUGCCACACUCCCUGGCUCCUCUGCCGGCUAGGAGCAUUUAACUCCACCACACGUGGGUGCAGCCAAGCCCCGCCCUUCAGGGGUGGGUGGGGAGGCUGGCGCCCAGGGAGAUAGAGUCUGGCAGAGCCAGGGAAAGGAGAGACAGGGUACAGACAGGUGGGGAACAGGAAUGGGGCAGAGACUAGGCCCUGCUUUUCCUCCUGGGCUCAUCGGCUGACAGUGCUGGCAAGCUUCUUCCCUUGGUCCCAGCCCAGCUUCCUACCCCCUCCCCACCAUGGUCUCAUUUUGAGGUCUGCCAAGAAAAUAGCCCAGAUAAGGAGCAGGUGACUGGUCUCUCUCACUCCCUUCUGUCUCCCAGCAAAAAAUAAAUUGUAUUUAGCUUCAGUAGCAGCUAGGGGAAUGCCUUUCAGAGGUAGGCUCCUCCAUGACUCCCUAUCCCACACCCUGCCACAUACCCUCGCAGGACCCUGUUCCACAGUUCUGUCCUCUAGCAGGCCCACGCUAGCUGCACUGCAGGGCUGGGGUGGGGGAUGUGGGCCCACUUCCCGUCUCUAAAGAUGAGGCCACAUUAAGAGGUAAGGGCCUGCUUUGAGGACAGCUCAGCUCAAAAAAGGAUGAGGCUCCAGGAGCCUCAAAAGACAAGGUUGUCUUGGUCACUCACAAAGGUCAUCUUGGGGACUCAUCCAUGGGCCUCUCACCUCAGAUGAUCCCCACCCAAAAAUGUGUUCUAGGGAAAGUGGGAAAGGUCAAAGUUAGAGGGCUCUGAGAAUUGCGGCACACAAUUUUGUUGUAGACUCUGGACUUAAGAGGACAGGAAAGAAUAGGAGGCAGGCAGAGUGCACACUGUCCUUGAGAGGGUUUGAGCCUCCUUCAACUCCUCCUCUUAGGGGUUUCCAAGGUACUGCCCCAGGGGCUUCCUCAGGUGAAUGGCUAGUCUGCAGAGGCCAGAAAAGGGGAAAGGAGGCAGGACCCGGGGCAGCUGUGUCCGUGGGGCUUUGUGGUCUCAGAUGCCGUCACUGGGGGUAAGUUUGGUGUCUGUUUUUUGGGGAAGGGCGAAAAUGGAAGGAACAUAGCAGUUCAGGGCUCUGCAUCGCCCACAGCCAUCUGUUUGUCUAAGACGAGGGAAGCUCUGGUUUCCAGCUGAUCUGGAGAGUGGAACAAGAGGCUCCUAACACUGUGCACCUUGGCCUAGAGGGCAGACACCACCAUGUGCUCAUGUGCUGUCCUCCUGGCUUGGCAGACGUUUAGGUGGGUGUUGCCAUCCCCCUGGGCUGUUGCUGGCCAGCAACUGGUAACAAGCACUGGGCUAGAGGGAAGUCUGGGUACAACCUGUGGGUAGGGGUAAGCAGGCAGGAGGUCAAGACUGGGAAGAAAUGGCUUUCUAAGUUCCAGGGACUGCCCAGGAAAAACCAACCAUAUUCUCCUUCCAUGGCCAGUGAGUUCCCAUAGGGAAACGGACAUGAAAUCAGUAGUUGGCUGUUUUUCUUUGCACAAUGUUAUACCUAAUACGGAGACAGCCUCCUACAGACCACUCCUUUAUUGCACUGGCACUGAGAUGAAGGCUCCAGUGCCAGGCUGCCAGCUGGGAGCACUGAUUACGGGUGAUGGAAGAGAAAGGAUGCUUCUGUCCCUGGCACAAAUGAUGAGAGCCCCAAAGAAUGGAUGUUUAUGCAUAAAAUAACCCCCUUGUUUUUGCCUAAAUGCUUCCCUCUCUCAUUUUGCCCCUACAAUCAUGUUAGGUAGUGUGGAGACUAAGAAUGUGCUCAUUUACAUGGGAAUAAAGAGGGUGCAGAGAUUCAGAACUGGCUCAUCACAGGAAGUUAUCUGUAUCACUAGAGCUCUUUUCCCAAGAGCAAACUGUAGAUUAUUUGCUUGAAAUUAAUAAUGGUUCGUCAGCCAUUCAUUAUACAUGUAAUUAGCCUGGGUAAAAACAGAUGCCAUUUCAAUGUCCUUGACAUCAAUUUUCUCCACUCCUAGUUAUCAGCCCAACCACUCCUCUCUGCUUUCCUUUCUCAAGUCUGAUAAACCCCAAGUUCCGGAGAAGGAACAGUGGUUGGAUUUUUUGGUGGCUUUGAUUACAUAUAUUGAACAGGCAAUGCUAGAAUGUUCCCAUCCAAAGAUACAAAGGAUAAUUUUUAAACUACAACUUUGGAAAGUGGUUGCACUCUGAUCCUAUAUUCCAAACCCCAUUCUUGCAUAAUGACAAAGGAAAAAGUCACGAGCCCCCAAGUGGGAAGCAGGUAGAACUGCAGGCGAGUUUCAAGUGAUUGCUAAUGAGAAUCUCUCCUGAGCUGUCUUCCAAACUCGGCCAAGGAGGGGCUAGUUGUCUACAGUAUGAGGAUGACAACACAGAACUUCCAUGGUGCUCUUAAGAACUGAACUCUUACCCGGGCACGGUGGCUCACGCCUGUAAUCCCAGCACUUUGGGAGG